AUUUAUUUAGUUUAAUAAAAACAUAACACUUUCACUGUUAAAUUGGGAUCUUACACCCUUUAAAUA
rnacentral:tRNA from 1 species